AGUGAACGCUGGCGGUAGGCCUAACACAUGCAAGUCGAACGGCAGCACAGGAGAGCUUGCUCUCUGGGUGGCGAGUGGCGGACGGGUGAGGAAUACAUCGGAAUCUACUCUGUCGUGGGGGAUAACGUAGGGAAACUUACGCUAAUACCGCAUACGACCUACGGGUGAAAGCAGGGGAUCUUCGGACCUUGCGCGAUUGAAUGAGCCGAUGUCGGAUUAGCUAGUUGGCGGGGUAAAGGCCCACCAAGGCGACGAUCCGUAGCUGGUCUGGGAGGAUGAGCAGCCACACUGGAACUGGGACACGGUCCAGGAUCCUACGGGAGGCAGCAGUGGGGAAUAUUGGACAAUGGGCGGAAGCCUGAUCCAGCCAUACCGCGUGGGUGAAGAAGGCCUUCGGGUUGUAAAGCCCUUUUGUUGGGAAAGAAAUCCAGCUGGCUAAUACCCGGUUGGGAUGACGGUACCCAAAGAAUAAGCACCGGCUAACUUCGUGCCAGCCGCCGCCGUAA
rnacentral:rRNA from 1 species